rnacentral:rRNA from 1 species
UGAGGAAUAUUGGUCAAUGGGCGCAAGCCUGAACCAGCCAUGCCGCGUGCAGGAAGACGGUCCUAUGGAUUGUAAACUGCUUUUGUACGGGAAGAAACACUCCUACGUGUAGGAGCUUGACGGUACCGUAAGAAUAAGGAUCGGCUAACUCCGUGCCAGCAGCCGCGGUAAUACGGAGGAUCCAAGCGUUAUCCGGAAUCAUUGGGUUUAAAGGGUCCGUAGGCGGUUUAAUAAGUCAGUGGUGAAAUCCCGUCGCUUAACGAUGGAACUGCCAUUGAUACUGUUAGACUUGAAUUAUUGGGAAGUAACUAGAAUAUGUAGUGUAGCGGUGAAAUGCUUAGAUAUUACAUGGAAUACCAAUUGCGAAGGCAGGUUACUACCAGUACAUUGACGCUGAGGGACGAAAGCGUGGGGAGCGAACAGGAUUAGAUACCCUGGUAGUCCACGCCGCAAACGAUGGAUACUAGCUGUUCGAGAGCAAUCUUGAGUGGCUAA